CAGCCGCCGCGGUAAAACCAGCACCUCGAGUGGUCAGGAGGUUUAUUGGGUCUAAAGCAUCCGUAGCCGGUUGCAUAAGUUUUCGGUUAAAUCUAUGCGCUUAACGUAUAGGCCGCCGAAAAUACUGUGCAGCUAGGGAGUGGGAGAGGUACACGGUACUCGAUAGGAAGGGGUAAAAUCCUUUGAUCUAUUGAUGACCACCUGUGGCGAAGGCGGUCUACCAGAACACGUUCGACGGUGAGGGAUAAAAGCUGGGGGAGCAAACCGGAUUAGAUACCCGGGUAGUCCCAGCUGUAAACUAUGCAAACUCAGUGAUGCAUUGGCUUGUGGCCAAUGCAGUGCUGCAGGGAAGCCGUUAAGUUUGCCGCCUGGGAAGUACGUACGCAAGUAUGAAACUUAAAGGAAUUGGCGGGGGAGCAC
rnacentral:rRNA from 2 species